rnacentral:rRNA from 2 species
CACGUAGGGGGCGAGCGUUGUCCGGAUUUAUUGGGCGUAAAGAGCUCGUAGGCGGUUUGGCAAGUCAGGUGUGAAAGCUCGAGGCUCAACCUCGAGACGCCACUUGAGACUGCCAUGACUGGAGUUCGGUAGAGGAGUGCGGAAUUCCUGGUGUAGCGGUGAAAUGCGCAGAUAUCAGGAGGAACACCAACGGCGAAGGCAGCACUCUGGGCCGAUACUGACGCUGAGGAGCGAAAGCGUGGGGAGCAAACAGG